CCUACGGGGGGCAGCAGUAGGGAAUUUUCGUCAAUGGGCGCAAGCCUGAACGAGCAAUGCCGCGUGAACGAGGAAGGUCUUCGGAUCGUAAAGUUCUGUUGAAGGGGAAAAAGAGCGGAGAGAGGAAAUGGUCUCCGAUUGAUAUUACCCUUCGAGGAUGUCACGGCUAACUACGUGCCAGCAGCCGCGGUAAUACGUAGGUGGCGAGCGUUAUCCGGAAUGAUUGGGCGUAAAGGGUGCGUAGGCGGCAUGCUAAGUCUGGAGUGAAAGGUAUCGGCUCAACCGGUGCAGGCUCUGGAAACUGGCGGGCUAGAGAGCAGGAGAGGGCGGUGGAACUCCAUGUGUAGCGGUAAAAUGCGUAGAUAUAUGGAAGAACACCAGUGGCGAAGGCGGCCGUCUGGCCUGUUACUGACGCUGAGGCACGAAAGCGUGGGGAGCAAAUAGGAUUAGAUACCCUAGUAGUC
rnacentral:rRNA from 1 species